rnacentral:lncRNA from 1 species
AAAAUUAUAGUGAUGGCCACUGGAGGAUGGAUUAGAGAGGAUGAGUCUGUUGGCUGGAAGACCAACUGGAACAUAUUGCCCUGGCUUCUGAUUUCAUGACAAAUUGGCAUGGUAAUACUUAAUACUUAACAGUUGCAGAAAAAUAGAAAGAUCUAAAUGGAGGACUUACAAAAUAUGGAGCUCUUAAAUAACGGACUUGAAAUUGAGAAUUAUUACAAGCCAUUAAUCAUUAUAGAUCUCCCCGGAAAUGAAUGAAUGAGAAUUUAUCAUUGCUCUUAUUAGGUACGUGCCUCCAAUACUUCUUCAGGAGGAUUUUCUGAAGCCCCAGUGGCUGCUGUUGUUUGAGUUUGGUUUGGAGCAAAACUGAGGUAGUCCUAACAUUUCUGGGACUGAAUCCAGGCAAGAGAAAGAAGAAAAAGAAGAAGAAAAAGAGGAGGAAAAAGCCUGGAAAACAUAUUAAUCCCAGUGCUUUUACGCCCGGAAACAAAGAGACUAAGCCAGACUAUGGGGGAAAGGGAGAUAAGAAGGAUCCUGGAACUUUAAAGAGGGAAAGAGUGAGA